rnacentral:rRNA from 1 species
UACGUAGGGAGCGAGCGUUGUCCGGAAUUAUUGGGCGUAAAGAGCUCGUAGGCGGUUUGUCGCGUCUGCCGUGAAAGCCCGGGGCUCAACUCCGGAUCUGCGGUGGGUACGGGCAGACUAGAGUGAUGUGGGGGAGACUGGAAUUCCUGGUGUAGCGGUGAAAUGCGCAGAUAUCAGGAGGAACACCGAUGGCGAAGGCAGGUCUCUGGGCAUUAACUGACGCUGAGGAGCGAAAGCAUGGGGAGCGAACAGG